rnacentral:rRNA from 1 species
CUGGAUUAGUGGCGAACGGGUGAGUAACACGUGAGCAAUGUGCCCUUGACUCUGGAAUAAGCGCUGGAAACGGCGUCUAAUACCGGAUACGACCCUCGGAGGCAUCUCCAGGGGGUGGAAAGAACUUCGGUCAAGGAUCAGCUCACGGCCUAUCAGUUAGUUGGUGAGGUAAUGGCUCACCAAGACGACGACGGGUAGCCGGCCUGAGAGGGUGACCGGCCACACUGGGACUGAGACACGGCCCAGACUCCUACGGGAGGCAGCAGUGGGGAAUAUUGCACAAUGGGCGCAAGCCUGAUGCAGCAACGCCGCGUGAGGGACGACGGCCUUCGGGUUGUAAACCUCUUUUAGCAGGGAAGAAGCGAAAGUGACGGUACCUGCAGAAAAAGCACCGGCUAACUACGUGCCAGCAGCCGCGGUAAUACGUAGGGUGCAAGCGUUGUCCGGAAUUAUUGGGCGUAAAGAGCUCGUAGGCGGUUUGUCACGUCUGCUGUGAAAUCCCGAGGCUCAACCUCGGGCUUGCAGUGGGUACGGGCAGACUAGAGUGCGGUAGGGGAGAUUGGAAUUCCUGGUGUAGCGGUGGAAUGCGCAGAUAUCAGGAGGAACACCGAUGGCGAAGGCAGAUCUCUGGGCCGUAACUGACGCUGAGGAGCGAAAGCAUGGGGAGCAAACAGGCUUAGAUACCCUGGUAGUCCAUGCCGUAAAACGUUGGGAACUAGAUGUGGGGACC